AGGUGGGGGGCAGGGGGUCUGUCCAGUGAUUCCAGCCACAUGUGAUAGAUGACCAGUGAUGCUUUCCUUAGGAUCUGUACAGCACUGUAAAGCAUGCACACUGGUAGUGGCUGACUUGAUCAAAUUCUGGCUUCGUGAACCGGAAUGAAAACGCACAUAACUCUUUUGGAAAACUUGGUGGGUAAAGUGCCUUGUGUGAUUGUGGAACAAAGACGUUUUCUAAUCAGAUUUAUCAAGCUGCAAAGAGGGAAUUUUAGCAAACGAAUGGAAGCAGCAACGUUCUGUCACCAGGAAAUACUGCUUUAUCCAGAAUUGGUGUCAAGUAUUUAUUUAAUUAGAACUUUGCAAAAUGAAAGUUGAAGUAAUACUUCGGAAGUCAAAGCGGCAACAUCUCCAGAUGGUAUGAAGGCAGACGAUGAUGGUAAUAGUUUUUUCCUUUUUUUUACAUAUUGGUGUCAUGGAAUUUAAGAUAGUUCUAGUGAUUACAUUAUGAAGCAAAAGGGUGGUUAUUUAUUAUGUAUGGUCUAUUACAUUGUGUGACAGAUUGUGAUAGCAGUUCUUACUGGUUUCAUGUACAGGUUUCUGUCUGUCUUGUCAAUGUCUGAAACCUGAAUUUCAGUUUUCUAAUCUUGAAUCUUAGCUGCUCCCAUGUUUAUGGUUUCCAGAAAAAUGCAAUAAAGCCUAGAAUACUUGUACUUACAUAAUAAUCUAACUCAUGAACCAUGAAAAAUGCAGUUUUUUUAAUUAGGCAAGGAUGUCUGAUUUCUUGAUUUAAAUUUAAGAAUG